rnacentral:lncRNA from 1 species
CAACUGUUCUGGGAAAUAUUGACGUUGGUACCUAGUACUCCACAUCUGGUUCACCCCAUCUUUCCUCCAGCCCUUCAGUGCUCUGUCAGGGUCUGUGGUCCUCAGCAGGCUGUGCCUUCCAAACAGGACAACAGAGUCAUUCCCAUGUGUCCCAAAAUCACCAUGUCUCUCAUCACUGUUUCCUCCAGAUGUAAACUGACACCAGAGCAUGGCCUCCUACACUGUCUCCCCCACAGUAGGAGCAUGUACCAGGGGGUGUUCAGAGUAAGCCAUGGAGCUGGACAAGCCUAGCUGGCAGCAUCACCCUGUCCCUCCUAGUGGUGUGACCACAUGCUAGUCCUAUAACUUCUGUGAGCCAGGCUCCAGCUGCUGUGUGCCUAACACUCACCCCCUAGUGCUCCUUGGAAAAUUACUUUGGAAAUUUAAGUAUUUGAGCCUGUGUUUCCUACUUCCCAUCUCAGACAUGCCUCUAGAGGCUGCCUUGCCUGCGUUCUCCCUUCAUUGUAAAGUAGCAAACUACAAAGAAAGCUUAGGACAAACAAAAAAACAAAAACUCCCCCUGGACUCUCCAUCAUUAAAAAAAAAAAAAAAAAGCAUUUUUAGUGUUUUGGUGAAUUUUUCCAUUAUUUUUAUUCCUGUCAUAGUUUAAAGAUGUGGUUGUUACAUUUUUGCCUUUUGUGAUUGUGUGCCUUUUAUUCGCAGUACACAUUGUAUUCCUCUAUAAUUGACUACUGCCAUUAACCUAACCCUCCCUUAAUGUUGACUACUCAGAUACUAUUUCUUUUUCCUUUUUUUUUAUUUUUGUUUUUUAGAUAAAGGUGUGUCUAUUUAUCAGAACAUUCCUGUGUUUGGGUCUAUGCCCAUAGCAGGAAGUAGCAUAAAUAGAUUUGUGGGUUAGAGGGGAGAAACUAUAGCACUGACCUCGUUUCAGAAAGUCCUAACCCCACCCAUGUGCAGCAGCUGCAAUUCCUCAGUUAGAAUCAUACUGCAUUUUAAACCAGGCUAAGAGCAUACUUGAGAGGUGGAGAGAGAAUCUGCUGCUCUUAAUAUAACUCUUUUUAGACCCUUCUUUUUUAACUGGAACUAAAGUUGCUUUAAAAUACCAAAAUGUGUCACCCUUGUGCCUGCAGGAAGAAGUAGCUAAAAACUUAUUAGCUGAAUUCAACUUGGGGUGUGAUGUCCACCAGACUGAGCAUGUGUACCGCGUCUAUGUGGCCACAUUUCUUGGGUUUGGUGGUAAUGCUGCUCGGCAGAGAUAUGAAGACAGACUAUUUGCCAGCACAGUUCAGAAAA